AUUGAACGCUGGCGGCAGGCCUAACACAUGCAAGUCGAGCGGAGCGGCGGACGGGUGAGUAAUGCCUAGGAAUCUGCCUGGUAGUGGGGGAUAACGUCCGGAAACGGGCGCUAAUACCGCAUCCUAUCAGAUGAGCCUAGGUCGGAUUAGCUAGUUGGUGGGGUAAAGGCCUACCAAGGCGACGAUCCGUAACUGGUCUGAGAGGAUGAUCAGUCACACUGGAACUGAGACACGGUCCAGACUCCAACGGGAGGAAGCAGUGGGGAAUGUUGGACGAGGGGCGAAAGCCUGAACCAGGCAUGCCGCGUGUGUGAAGAAGGUCUUCGGAUUGUAAAGAACUUUAGGUUGGGAGGCGUUAACAACAGAAUAAGCACCGGCUAACUUGGUGCCAGCAGCCGCGUAAUUC
rnacentral:rRNA from 1 species